rnacentral:rRNA from 1 species
UUUAAUGAGAGUUUGAUCCUGGCUCAGGACGAACGCUGGCGGCGUGCCUAAUACAUGCAAGUAGAACGCUGAAGGAGGAGCUUGCUUCUCCGGAUGAGUUGCGAACGGGUGAGUAACGCGUAGGUAACCUGCCUGGUAGCGGGGGAUAACUAUUGGAAACGAUAGCUAAUACCGCAUAAGAGUAGAUGUUGCAUGACAUUUGCUUAAAAGGUGCAAUUGCAUCACUACCAGAUGGACCUGCGUUGUAUUAGCUAGUUGGUGGGGUAACGGCUCACCAAGGCGACGAUACAUAGCCGACCUGAGAGGGUGAUCGGCCACACUGGGACUGAGACACGGCCCAGACUCCUACGGGAGGCAGCAGUAGGGAAUCUUCGGCAAUGGACGGAAGUCUGACCGAGCAACGCCGCGUGAGUGAAGAAGGUUUUCGGAUCGUAAAGCUCUGUUGUAAGAGAAGAACGAGUGUGAGAGUGGAAAGUUCACACUGUGACGGUAUCUUACCAGAA